rnacentral:rRNA from 1 species
GAUGAACGCUGGCGGCGUGCCUAAUACAUGCAAGUCGAGCGAACAGACGAGGAGCUUGCUCCUCUGACGUUAGCGGCGGACGGGAGAGUAACACGUGGAUCACCUACCUAUAAGACUGGGAUAAUUUCGGGAAACCGGAGCUUAUACCGGAUAAUAUAUUGAACCGCAUGGUUCAAUGGUGAAAGACGGUUUUGCUGUCACUUAUAGAUGGAUCCGCGCCGCAUUAGCUAGUUGGUAAGGUAACGGCGUACCAAGGCGACGAUGCGUAGCCGACCUGAGAGGGUGAUCGGCCACACUGGAACUGAGACACGGUCCAGACUCCUACGGGAGGCAGCAGUAGGGAAUCUUCCGCAAUGGGCGAAAGCCUGACGGAGCAACGCCGCGUGAGUGAUGAAGGUCUUCGGAUCGUAAAACUCUGUUAUUAGGGAAGAACAAAUGUGUAAGUAACUAUGCACGUCUUGACGGUACCUAAUCAGAAAGCCACGGCUAACUACGUG